AAGUUCUCAACCGGUCCAACUGCUUCCUACCCAAAAAAGCAACCUAUUUCCCCCACCGAAGAAAAAAAUAUCAAUAGGAAAACAAUCUCUGAGCUUAAGAAUAUCAAUCCAAAUCAAAAUAAGAAAGCAUUCUUCACUUGUCAAGCUGAGAUCAUUAAAUUUGAUGAGACACAAGGAUGGUUCUACAAGACAUGUCCACAAUGUUUUGUGCGGGCAAAAAUUGCUGGACCUCAAUGGUGGUGUUCUAAACAUGGUUAUUUCUCAAACCCACCAACACCUCGGUAUUGUUUGGUUUGCCAUAUAAAAGAUGAAACAGGGCAGACUCCCAUUUAUUUAUUUGGUAGGGUUGCUCAUGCCUUAGAUGGUGUAUCAUGUGCAACAAUCACAAAAGAUCUUGACAAUGUCCAUGAACAAUGCAUCCCACCACCAUUAAGCAAUAUGAUUGGCUCAACAAGAAUUUUUCAGCUACACUACAGUUCAAAUUUAGCUUGACCAUACCUUAUUGCUUCAAAGGUCUAUAAUGAUGACAUAAUUUCAACCAAUGAUUAUUCUCAAUCUCAACCCCUACAGCUUACUAACUCAUCUCCACCACUAGCACACAACGCAGUAGAAACAAUUUCUCCUUCACCCAACCAUGAAGAAGUAACUAAAGAACUUACUUUUCCACUGAAAAGAAAACUCUUCACUUCUUCCAUUCAGAUCAAGGAGGAAAAAUCCAGCACACAACAGCUAAAGGAGAAGAAGCUCAAAUUAGAUUGAAAAGACCUCAACAAUCUUGGUUUGUGCAAUUGGAGAAGAAAUGUUAACUCUAUUUUGCAAACAAAUUAAACGGCUACCUAACUAUAUAUAAGAUAUGUAUCACGCCUCAUUUUGUAGACCUUAUUAGUACCCUAGUAUUGGUGUGCAUACAUAUUUAUAUAGUUGUACAUAUUAUUCGGACACUAUU